UCAAGUAACAUUGUUGAGCAAAUGUCUUCGGACUAAAGAGUAUUGCUGACUUGAAAAGAUAUUCUGACCCGAGGUACUACAGUAGCCCUCCAAAUCCUCCUAAAGCCAAUGGCAUUUCGGAGCAUGAUCCGUCCCAACAGCAAGCAAUCAUCUGCAAAUAGAAGAUGCAACAUCGGCUAAACCCCCUGGGAAGAGACAUAAAAAUCGAAGCCCAUCCCGAGGGAGGUAGCACAAAGAGCUCAUGAAAGGGCAUCAGCACUUAUAAUAAAAAGAUAGAAAGAUAAGGGCCAA
rnacentral:lncRNA from 1 species